AAUUUGUGACCACUGUCGCCUGCGAAGCUUACAAGCUCUUGCAGUCCGGGUGAACUGGAGAUGCAACAAGAAAAGCUCCCAGCAUGGGUAGAAUGAGGGUAUGAUUUUGGAAAGAGCUGAUCCCAUACUGCUGAAGGUGGUAAUCCUGUCCUCCUCCUGCUCCACUUCUGGGGAUUCCCAUGCGUCAUCAAACCAGCUCCGGCCUGGCAAGGAUCGAGCCUACUGAAAGGAAGACUUUUCAAGGAGGUCCAAAUAAAUGUUGUAAAUCAUG
ensembl:lncRNA